rnacentral:lncRNA from 1 species
UUGGAAACUAAGGAUCGAAGUUUGUCUUGUAGGUUUCUUUUGACCUUUUUUUUCUUAUACUUGUCUGCUUUUUGAUGAAUGUUAUUUAUUUUUAUUUGUUUCUGUUGUAUGUUUUUUUUUUCUAGGAAUUUCUUAAUUUGAGUUUAAUUAUGUACCUUGCCUAACAAUGAAUUACACACUAUAAACCAAAGGCCCUUGGCCUACUUUUCUAAUUGAAGUUUGAUGAAUUGAAGAUUAAUUUCGGAACUUAGGUAUACUGUUUUAUGCUUCUACCCAAAUUUCCAUUUUUUCUAUUGUUUUUUAUCAAUCCGUUUCUGUUGAUUGCAAUCUGAUUUGUCUGACAACUUUUAAUUGAUUCAUUCCCAUUCAGUAACACUCAAACUAACCUAGGUAGUCAGGUGAGGAUCACAACAAUUGGCUCACAACUUUUAAUUUUUGUUUGUCCUAACUCUUAACUUGUUGGCAUCUUAAACUUGGCGCCAAAAUUUCAUAAGGCGGACGGGAAGUACUAAUAGACAUUCAAAUUAUUUGUAUUGUUGUGCUUUAUGCAUUUAUCUUUUAAAAUUCUAAUAGUUUGUAUCAUUGUGAUUUUGAUAGGCCAUUCUCAAAUUUAUCUUGAUUUUGGAGAGGUUGCUUUACAUGCAUGAUGCUGAUCGUAGUCUAGGACCAUUUUUCGGUUCAUGCUUAAGCUGGUAAUAAUCUUAAUUUCAUGGACUUGAUAGUUUAUUUAUUUAAGCAUGUUUGUUAUGGUCAUUGCUUUUAUAGUGUCAGUUGGUUUUUGCUAAGACUUGGCAUCAAGGAUUCUGCUCCAAUGACCUUGAAACACAGCUGGCCUAGGAUGUCCCAAUCAAUCUUCCGUUCGACGUUAAACCCUCAUCAAUUCAUCAUAUAUCAUUUUCGACAGUGAGCAGGGUAAGAGGAGACUAUCCCCUUUUAUAUCGAAACUAUGGUAGUUUGAUGAUCUGAGAUAUUUCAUUUUGAUUAAGGUUUUGGUGAGAUUCUCUCUUCAUUCUUUUUCGUUUCAUGAAGAGACCCAAUGUGAUUGUUGUAAGAAACUUAUUAAUGUUUUUAAGGAGAAGAAUAGAGUCUAGAACCGUGAGAGAAAGAAAGAGAGUUAUUGAAUAGUCUACUUUAUUUUUGGAGAGUCAUUGGAGCAGAAUCCUUGAUGUCAAGUCUGAAUGAUUGAGAUUGAGAGUUAUUGGAUGAAUGGCUUUAUGGAAGUUACCAGGCCAAGAAUUGUGCGAUAUCCAAUCAUUGGUGAAGACUUGUAUCCAUUUGAGGGUAAAGAGAAGAUUAAAGUCUAGAACUGAAAAACAAGAUUGAAGUCUAGAACUGAAAAACAAGAUUGAAGUCUAGAACUUUAUUUUGUUUCGAUCCUACAUAAACAACUUGAAGAGUAUAGUUCUAGAAAUAAGGUGUUUGUUUAUCCACAAGGGGAGAACAUUCAGUAGUUAUUCCUGGGCUUCUUGGCUAGAAAGCCAGUUUAAUUGCGUAUACUGGGGGAGGAGUUGAGGGAAUAGGUUUUCUCUCGACUUCUGUAAAAUGGGUUAUUAUUCGUUUGGAUCUUGUGUUGGAAUUUUUGGAUGAAGAGAACUGUUUUGUUCAGGAACGUACGUACGCUGUUAGGACGUUCGUACGUUCCAUUCGACAGAUGUUGGUUUUGUGGCUGAACGUACGAACGUCAAUUCGACGUACGUACGUCCUAUCUUGGUUUUGUGUAUAUGGGCCUGUUUAAGCCCAUUUCGUGUGUGUUUUGUAUGGCUAUGUUAUAAAGCCAAUUGAGAAGGUUGGAAAACCUAAUCUUCAUGUGAGAGAGAGAUUGUGAGAAGCCAUUGGUGAGUUUGAGAGAACUCUUGUGAGGAAGAACACUUUAGUUUCUUCGUGAGGGCUUGUAAAAUCGUCUCAAGUUGGAAGAUUGUUGUUUUGGUCGUGGACGUAGGCAAUAUUAGCCGAACCACGUAAAUCUUGUGUUUUUGUUUGUUUUUGUUUUGCUUUGUUUAAUUCACACACUAUAUCAAUUUUGGGUAUUGGUGCAUAAGCUUCCGCUGCGCACAACAAGUGGUAUCAGAGCUGCAGGCUAGAUCUUGAGAGCCUUGAAGGUGUUUGAAGAAAUUUCUGCAGGUGAGUUUCUUAUUUGUGGUUUAAGGCAAAAGUUCUAUCUUGUAUCCGUGGGUUGUCAAGAAGGUGUUUGUUGAAAUUCCCGUGUGAAUUUCAGAUUUGUUUACCUUCGAUUGGUGAUUGUUUAGUGUGUGAAAGUGAUUAGUGAUGUCAGACCCAUCUUCGAGUAAGAAUGGAAAAGUGUCAUCUUUGAAGUUUGACAUCGAGAAAUUCAAUGGUAGAAACAACUUCGGCAUGUGGCAAUGCGAAGUUCUGGAUUUGCUUGCUCAGCAAGGUUUGGAAGAUGCUUUGGGUGAUAAACCUGAAAAGAUGGAAAAAGAUGAUUGGUUGAAAUUGAAUAGGCAAGUUUGUGGCGUGAUUCGCCUUUGUUUGGAAAAGGACCAGAAAUACUCGGUGAUGAAAGAGACGUCUGCUAAGGAGUUGUGGAAGAAAUUGGCUGAUAUGUAUAUGAAGAAAAGUUUAGAAACCAAGCUGUUUCUGAAGAAAAGGAUCUUCCGCAUUGAUAUGAGACCUGGUAUUUCUUUGUCUGAACAUCUGGAUGAAUUCAAUAGGCUUAUUGCUGACCUAUUGAACUUGGAUGAGGUUGUCAGUGAUAAUGACAAGUCUCUAUGUCUUUUGAACUCUCUCCCCGAUGAAUAUGACCAUUUGUCCACCACUUUGUUGACGGGGAAAGAAUCUGUAUGCUGAUGUAGCAACGGCGUUACUGAACUAUGAAUGCAGGCGCAAGGACAAAGAAGUCCAUAGGGGUUCAGGUUCAACGUCCGAGGCUUUGAUGGUAAGGGGACGAUCCAAUGAUCGUACUACUGGUAGCGGAGGAAGAUCUCGAUCAAAGUCUAGAGGUAGACCUCUAGCAAAAGAUGAGUGUGCCUUUUGUCAUGGAAAAGGCCAUUGGAAGGUUGAUUGUCCCGAGUUGUCAAAGAAGGAAGAUUCUGUGUCUUCCAAAGAUAAUAAGGUAAAUGUCGCACAUGAUGAUGUUAGUGAUGAUGAUUCAAAUUAUUCUUUGGCUGUUAUGGUUGAUUGCUCCACUCAAGGGUGGAUUAUGGAUUCUGCAUGUUUUCACCAUUUGUGUCACAGUAGAGAUUUGUUUUCUAGUUUUCAAAAGCUAGACUGUGAAGAUGUUGUGUUAGGUGAUGGUCGUCACAUGAAAACACUUGGUGUGGGAACUGUCAAGUUGAAGUUGGAAAAUGGUACAGUUAAAGAAUUAGUUGGUGUCCGGUAUGUUCUGGAGUUGAAGAUGAAUCUCAUCUCACUUGGUACUUUAGAGUCCGAAGGUAUGAAGAUUGUUCUGCAAAAUGGGGCUUUAAAGGUUGUUUCUGGUGUUUUGAUUGUUAUGAAAGGGACAAGACAACGAAAUUUGUACUAUCUUAACGGUAGUGUUGUUGGUUGUGGUGGAGAUUCUUCUUCACAUUUGGUGGAUUGUUUGACUCCUCCCAGUUUGUCAAAUUGUUUGGUUGAUUGUGGCUUUGGUAGGCGUACCGGCAAGCAUGGCUUGUUGAAUGGUGGUAAGGUACGUAAAGUUUGUUUUGGGCAUCCUUGUUUGAAUGAUAGUUUGAAGUUGGAAGAGAUAUCUCAGCAGGUGGAGAUUGAUGCCGCUCCUUAUGAAAGUUUGUCUGGUAACACAGCUGAUGUUAGUUUGCUAGCCACAGAUGUUUGUUUGAAGGUUCAAGCCCAGGAGCCAAUUGUAGCUGUGAAGCCGUUGUUUGGAGACCUUUGUAGGUUUCGGGGUGUUGAUUCAUACUCAUCUUCAGUCGGUUAUGGUCAUAAAGUGGAGAUAGUAUUUGGUAGUUUGGACCCCAUUGUUUUGAAUUAUGGUUGUUGGCCCUCUACGGGCAUUGGUGGGCAUUUGUUUUGAUUUGGUCCCUUGUGGGAUUUGACCCUUCGGGGUAUGGUGGGCAUCGUAUAGAUGUCAUUGGAGUGAACUACGGUGGUUUGAUCUCUUAGAAGAAGGGUACGUAGGCAACCAUGAGGUGGUGCAACCGCUUUGGUCCUUCGGGACAUGUGUGGGAGUUUGUAACUUGGUAUCGGCUUAGAUUUAUUGAAUCUUCGCCGAGGUGGAGAAUUGUUGGAAUUUUUGGAUGAAGAGAACUGUUUUGUUCAGGAACGUACGUACGCUGUUAGGACGUUCGUACGUUCCAUUCGACAGAUGUUGGUUUUGUGGCUGAACGUACGAACGUCAAUUCGACGUACGUACGUCCUAUCUUGGUUUUGUGUAUAUGGGCCUGUUUAAGCCCAUUUCGUGUGUGUUUUGUAUGGCUAUGUUAUAAAGCCAAUUGAGAAGGUUGGAAAACCUAAUCUUCAUGUGAGAGAGAGAUUGUGAGAAGCCAUUGGUGAGUUUGAGAGAACUCUUGUGAGGAAGAACACUUUGGUUUCUUCGUGAGGGCUUGUAAAAUCGUCUCAAGUUGGAAGAUUGUUGUUUUGGUCGUGGACGUAGGCAAUAUUAGCCGAACCACGUAAAUCUUGUGUUUUUGUUUGUUUUUGUUUUGCUUUGUUUAAUUCACACACUAUAUCAAUUUUGGGUAUUGGUGCAUAAGCUUCUGCUGCGCACAACAUCUUGAUGGUUGAGGAUUUGUCAGAGAUGGGUCCUGUCUCAUUGCUUUUACAGCUCUUUUAUUACGUCGAUCCUUCAGAUAGUGAUUUGCAAUCCAAUACCUAAGGGCAGAGUAGUAAUGCUGAUGAUAUAGCGAUCUGCAAUCCAAUACCUUAGUGCAGAGUGCUUAAAGAAAACUUUGUAGUUACUUUACAGUAGUGAAGGGGCAUUUAUGAAAUCCGGCCUUAUCGCACUUUCACUGCUACUUACUUACAUAUCACAGUUUCUGAUGUCCCUUAGAGUUCCAACUUGCUUAAAUUUGUGGCAAAUAUGUUCAGAACAUUUUCAAAAAUGCUUAAGCUCUCUCUCAGAUACACCCACACACACAUGAAUUCAUCUCUUUCACAUUCUUGUUGUUUUUCAUCUCCAGUACUGUAAAUAUUCAAUUCACUUAAACCUUGAAGAUGCAAAUUAAGAAAGUCAAGCAUGCAACUGCACUAUAUAUGGGGUGUGACGAGCAAGAGUAUUGGGAGGUGUGUACAUGUGAGACAAUCAGGCAAGAAUUAAUUUCAGAGAGUGUACCAUGUGAAUAAAUGCGUUAUACUUUUGUGUGCUUACACCAUUUGCGAUUGCGUAAUUCUACAAUCCAAGAGUACAGUUUUCACCCCCUGGCUAUGUGCCUACAUGUGCAGGUCUUACAUCAAUCAGCUCAAGGUCGGAGAUGUAUUGGAAUGGUUUGUCGUUUGAGGUUCCUGAUUCAAGGAGUUCAUAUUAUGACUAUCCAGGAAGUUGUUAAUUAGUGCGUACAUGCAUGCUUUGAAUUUAGAAUGACUGCCGCAGCAGCUUGCCUCCUGAUCCGCUAUACUAGUUCCUCGUACUGCUUGUAUUCUGCAAACUGCAAACCAAUUGUUUUAAAGUUUUACCGUAGUACAAUUUUUGUUUUAUUGGUGGGAGGAAGCCCCUGUUUUGCUUGUUGGUAGUGAUGAUGCACCUCAGCACACGUGAAGAUUGUCCUGUACUCCUGUACUCGCCAAUGAGGGAAUGUUGACUGUUACAUAUGGUCGAGCUUUCUCAAGAAGGGAGUGAUGCAAGAGGCACAUCCCUGCUAUCAUGAGUAUGAACCCUACUUUGC